GCUCUACCACCUUGUCAAUGGCUGAUCUCCUCAGAUUUUGGAAACCAAGCAGGAUUGGACCUGGUUUGUACUUGAAUGGAAAACUGCUGGGAAUACCAGGUGGAGCA
rnacentral:rRNA from 1 species